CAAAAACAUGUCNUUUNGUGUUNAAAUAAAAGGUCUCACCUGCNCAGUGAUUUAUUUAACGGCCGCGGUAUACUGACCGCGCAAAGGUAGCAUAAUCAUUAGUCUUUUAAUAGAGGGCUGGAAUGAAAGGUUUAACGAGGAAUAUACUGUCUCAUUUUAUUUGUUUUAAAAUUUAAUUUUUUGGUUAAAAAGCUAAAAUUUUAUUGGAAGACGAGAAGACCCUAUAGAUCUUUAUAUAAUUAUUUUUAAUUUAUUUUUAUAAUAUUUUAAUUAUUAGUGAUUAUAUUUUGUUGGGGUGACAAAAAUAUAAAUAUAACUUUUUUAUUUAAAUAACAUUGAUUAAUGAUUAAAUGAUCCAUUAUUAGUGAUUAUUAGAUUAAGUUACCUUAGGGAUAACANCGUAAUCCUCCUUUGGAGUUCUUAUUUGCAGGAUGGGCUUGCGACCUCGAUGUUGGAUUAAGAUAAUAGUUAGGUGUAGCCGCNNNANUUAUAGGUCUGUUCGACCUUNAAAUUCUUACAUGAUCUGAG
rnacentral:rRNA from 1 species